rnacentral:rRNA from 1 species
CUGUGUGCAAAGGCAUAAGCGUGCUUGACUGCAAGAUCGACGGAUCAAGCAGGUACGAAAGUAGGUCUUAGUGAUCCGGUGGUUCUGUAUGGAAGGGCCAUCGCUCAACGGAUAAAAGGUACUCCGGGGAUAACAGGCUGAUACCGCCCAAGAGUUCAUAUCGACGGCGGUGUUUGGCACCUCGAUGUCGGCUCAUCACAUCCUGGGGCUGUAGUCGGUCCCAAGGGUAUGGCUGUUCGCCAUUUAAAGUGGUACGCGAGCUGGGUUCAGAACGUCGUGAGACAGUUCGGUCCCUAUCUGCCAUGGGCGUUGGAAGUUUGAGAGGGGCUGCUCCUAGUACGAGAGGACCGGAGUGGACGAACCUCUGGUGUUCCGGUUGUCACGCCAGUGGCAUUGCCGGGUAGCUAUGUUCGGAAGCGAUAACCGCUGAAAGCAUCUAAGCGGGAAGCGCGCCUCAAGAUGAGACUUCCCGGGGCACAAGCCCCCUAAAGGAACCAUAUAGACUAUGUGGUUGAUAGGUCAGGUGUGUAAGUACAGCAAUGUAUUGAGCUAACUGAUACUAAUGAUCCGUGCGGCUUGACCAUAUAACCUCA